rfam:Sordaria macrospora k-hell, WGS project CABT02000000 data, contig: 2.4
ACAUACGAUCAUAGAUGGUAGAAAACUCGGGAUCCCGUCCGCUCUCCCAUAGAUAAGCUACCAAUCGCCAGCCUAGUAGUUGGGUCGGUGAUGACCAGCGAAUCCCUGGUGUUGUAUGUU